rnacentral:rRNA from 1 species
GCUGCCAUUGCCGUCGCGUGUGGGUCACCUACGGUGACGGGCACUGGAGCGGUACCCGUAGGGGGAAACCUCGUUUUCCGCACCGAUCGUCGCUAGGUACCACAGGAGCCGCAGCGGGUUGGUGAACCUGUUGUUACCGGAGAGGCACACGUACGUACCUGCGCCACUGCCGUGUGCACUUUCGUGGGCGAGUGCCGAGUGCAACUGUAGGAGCACCGGGCCUCGCCUCGAAAAUAUAGCCGCGACCUGCCGCUGCGGCGGUUGUAAAGCUCGUGGACUCAAGAACGACGGCAGCUCAUCGAUCGACGCCCUACAGCCCUCGCCUCGGUAGCCGCCGCCGCCGCCCCCGCCCCCGCCCGUUACCGGUCGUGCGCCGCCACCUAUAGGCGUGCCGCCGCGUCGUCGGGCUCCUCGGCUCCGUCUGCAGGUACUCGCCCGGCGAGUUGGAGGCCUCGCUGGCCUCCGGCGGCGGCCGCGUCUCCCGGAAGUCGGCCGUCCACAGGGACCCGUCGCCGCAGUGCCACUACCCGUACCUGUCUCCGCCCUCCUUGCCGCCGUCCGGGCCCGUCGCGCGCGAGGGCGCGUCGCCGUUCUCGGAGCCGCACGAGUUGGUGUCGCCGCCGGAGCCGGGCCUGCCGCGGGGCGCGUCCCCGCCGCUGAAGUCGUACAAGGCCUGGUUCAGGUGCGAGUCGUUCGUCUUGAGGUACGACGGCAGGUCCUAGUUCCUCCUCGACCUGCCGCAGCUGGACCUGGUGCAGCUCCCGGUCGGGUGGCCGUCCGGGCUGCACCUGGGAGAGUUGUUCUCGCAGGGGCGGCCGGCGAUGAAGCGGCGCGAAGCGCCGGGGCUCGAGCUGCUUCAGGCGCAUUCAGUAGGUAGGUAGAACAGGAGCGACUAGUCAUACUAAAACGACUUUUUAGUAUGAUGACUGACUUGACAAACAUGCAUCCUGAUGCUUCUGUAGGACGACGGGUUCCUGCUCCACACCGGCAAGGACGACGCCAAGGGCUAGCCGACGAAGCCGCAGACGGACCCCGAGCCGUCGGUCCGGUAGGACACCCCGCGCGACCGCCGCUCGGGCCGCUACCCCAAGGAGGCCCACUGCGGGUACUAGUUGCAGCGGCACACCGACGACCGCUGCCGGCACGACCACCGGUGCAGGCAGUGGAUGCGCGAGUUCACGCAGAAGAUGAAGCUCCGGUAGGCCGCGCUCAAGAAGGUGGGCCACGCGCAGUUGAAGAAGAAGUGCGGCAGGUAGCGGCGGUACAAGGAGCGGUAGCCGGAGGGGGCGCGGAAGCGCGGCCGCUCCGACGUGGGCCGGCACACCACGCGCAAGCACCGCGGCGACAAGCGCGACCUCGAGUUCUAGAUGCCCGUCACCGACAGCCCGCCGUUCGCCUCCGACACGUUCCACCGGUUGGGCAGCAGGGUGGACAGGCACCACCCGUUGAAGCACCCGCGGUAGGACCGCCGCGCCCAGCCCACCCUCCUCCGGCCGUUCAAGGACACCCGGUAGCCGCAGAGGGUGAUGUAGCAGCAGAAGCAUUGCGAGAUGGUCGCCGACGGGUGGUUGCUCCGCGACGGGUACCUCGACGUGGGCCAGAUGAGGUACAAGUAGCGGUGCGGCAGGCGGCGGUCGGAGCGGACCCGCCGGUAGAUGCCGUCGAAGCUGCGGCAGCGCGCGUGGAAGAAGAAGUACCGCGAGAAGGAGAUGUACAGGGAGCAGCACGCGUAGUUGAAGAAGGCACCGAAGGCCAAGAGGUAGCGCACCACCAGGAUGUGCAAGGGGUACUGCUGCCGCAGCGACCGCUGGCAGUUCAUACGGCUCCGGCACGGCACGAAGUGCUCGUCUCGGGAGCGCGACUCGGACAGGGAGUACAGCUGCUGGUACCACAGCGACGACGAGCACAGCUGCGAGGACGUGCGGAAGAUGACCGCGAGCGACAAGGGGUUGCUGGAGCGGUAGCGGUAGUGGUUCCUGGCCGUCUCGCCGCGGCCCUCCGGCGUGCCGUUCCCCUCCUUCCGGCCGUUCUCCCACUUGCUGUAGUUCGCCACCCGGUUCGUCCACGGCGAGAGCCAGCAGAGGAGGUAGUGGUUCUCGUUGAGACGUCUGUUCCUUCUUCUCCUCUUUUGUCUGAUCAACAUGUAUGAUACACACUAAUUUGUCGUAAUGUCCCAAGGUACCGAACUAGUCGUAAUGUCCCAAGGUACCGAACUAGUCGUAUUUAUUCUGUGAAUAUUAUCAUUAUGAUAUACCUAACAUCAUUGGAUCUCGAUCUUCCUUAUGAUCAAUACCUAACUAGUGUUCUCUCGACAUGUAGAGAAUCGAAUAAGAGUAAAGAGUGAUCUUGACCG